GAGGAGCCGGGCUUGUCGGAACAGCGUGCCCAGGAGACCCUGAACUCUGCUUGGGCGAGGAUAAAGCUUUCCUCUCCUGCCAGUGACAGGGACAGACCCUCCUGAGGUCCAAAGUUGAAAGGAUUGGUGACACAUGGAGGUAUUUUUCACAAAAUUAGCAUCUGGUCUCCCUCGGCAUCUAAUCGCAUUUCUUACAUAGCCCAAAUCUCCAAAAUGUGCUCCAUUAUUUUGUUUUCCAGUUUCUUUUUCUUUUUUUAAGCAGUGAUACCUGUGUGGACAGCUACAAGAGCCAAAACAAAAAAAGGAAUGAAGAGUGUUUUUUUUUUUUUUUUUCCUUGAACGGAGGUUUUCUGAAGUCUUUCUUCAGAGUGGGCUUUUAUUUCUUCAAGGACAAGAGGUCAAACUGCUAAAAAUAGCAAAGAAGCACAUUUUCCCCCUCCUUGUUAAUUCCUGACCUUGAGCAAGUGUUGAUCCUUUGGGAAAUGGAUUUGGUGGGGAGUUGAGAAGGUUGUUAUGUGGCCCGUAUACCUGGAGAGCCACUUGGAUUUUUUUCGGGAAAAGCAUAGGUCAGAAUUCUCUUGCCUUCUAGAAAGAAGCUCUAGAAGGAGGGCAGGAGCAGUGGAAACUGUUGGAAAGAGUGUCAGAAUGGAAAACACAGGACGGAGGGGAGGUGUGCCAAUGGGGUCGUCCUUACCUCGAGUAUCUUCACCUGUUUUCGUUUUAUUCGUGUGAUUGUUUGCAUGAGCACAAGCUGUGCGCAUACGGUGUGGGUUAGGCCGACGCACUGUUAAAAGGGAUCCCGCGCUGAAGCGGAGGUGAGGGUCGCCGGCUCCCGUUUUCUAUUUUCAUCCUUGACACUUGCACCUGACUCCUCCUUUUGGUUUCACGUGGACACAGAACAGAAACUGCUCAGUGUGAUGAAAGAUCAGCCCAGCCUCCGGCGUCUACCAUUGCCUCACUUCUUUUAAAAUGGUCACUUCUGGAUUUUGUUUUCUUUUUACCUCUAUCGAUUUUCCCCAGCAUGGUUCUACAGCGUCCAGUGACCUUGGGUGACUUUUCAUGGAGCCGCGGUGACUCUCAGUGGACUACUCCCAGCCCCUGCUGUGACUUUUUUUUAGCGCUGUCUUUGCUGUAGGAGACGCAAGGACGUGUUGGAGGGGGUCAAGGAGAGGAUGUGGCCGCGGGUUCAUCUUCGAGUGGCCCCGGGCAGCGGAGGCUCCUUGGAAUGUACACUCUGCCCACAGUGCCAGCUGUUAUGAGGACGUCGCCCUGAGACAGACGCUGUUACACCCCUUGGGCUAACUCUGUGCCCGGACCCUGUUAAGGUCUCUGGAUCAACUCUUCAGACCCUGGCAGGCACGUGCGGAGAUCUCCUUGCCUUGACCGGAGCCCAGAGCAGGCCUCUUAUUUUUUGACUCAAAAGAUUUCCUCUUUAUGAUGUGGUGUGGUUCUGCCCACUCCCACAGUCUUGUAGGAUCUCCUAGGACUGUGGAACUCAAGAGCCGGUGUGAAGCUUGGACAUCAUCUUACCCAGUCCUCACAUACCCCAGGUCAGGAAACUCAAGUUCAAGCUUCAAUGGGAAAUGCAUUCAUUUUAUCCAUUUCCCCCCUUUCUACCUGGAAAGAGGACUUGGUCUCCGAAAUAAGAAUGGCCUAAGUCAACGUCAGUCUUAUGGCAGGAGAGUCCCCUCCCCACGGCCUCAGCCGCCCAGAGGGAGUAAAAGAUGGUGAGCUCGUGACAGACUCUCCACGCCAGCUGUGGCCAUCUCAGUGGUUUCCUGAGUUACAGAGCACGAGAUUACUGUCCUUUCAACACACAUUGUAGAACUUCGAAGGAGAUGGUUUUGUCAAACUCUUUCCUUUGGCAGACAAAGAAUCCAUGGUUGGUAUGUGUCAGGGCUUCCUAGUGGUUGCAGCAGAUGGAAAUCGCCAUCUAAUCUGGGUCUGUGUCCAAAUCAGACUCGAUAAAACUGGAAAAAAAAAAAAGCAAUUUAAGUAAUGUAUUGGCUCAUGUAUGUCUAGAUGAGCGAUUGAGGGAUUGGGGUUCAAACGACGUCAUCGUCCCCUUCCCUCCC